GGGGUUGUGGCUCAGUGAUAGAGCGCUUGCCUCAAAUGUGUGAGGCACUGGGUUCAAUUCUCAGCACCUCA
rnacentral:tRNA from 1 species